UACGAAGGGUCCAAGCGUUAUCCGGAUUCAUUGGGUUUAAAGGGUGCGCAGGCGGGGCUUUAAGUCAGUGGUGAAAUCCCUUCGCUCAACGAAGGAACUGCCAUUGAUACUGAAGCUCUUGAAUAUGGUUGACGUUGGCGGAAUGUGUCAUGUAGCGGUGAAAUGCUUAGAUAUGACACAGAACACCAAUCGCGAAGGCAGCUAACGAAGCCAUUAUUGACGCUCAGGCACGAAAGCGUGGGGAUCAAACAGG
rnacentral:rRNA from 1 species